CAUAUCAUGUUUCAUUGCAACUCUCACCAUAAAGACAUAUACACUUAUCUCAUUUGGUAAUUUCUUUGAUGAGGGCAACUCUUUUAAAUAUCAAGGAUCAAUCAUAUAGGACACUUCUUCACUUCUCAAAACACUCAUCCAUAGAUUUGUUAUUGCUUAGAUCCUUAAAAAGUACAUGAGUAUCUAAAAUAUCUCACCUAAGGCUUUCACUAUACGUAUGAGUCGUUC
rnacentral:lncRNA from 1 species